UGGGGAAUAUUGGACAAUGGGCGCAAGCCUGAUCCAGCCAUGCCGCGUGUGUGAAGAAGGCCUUUUGGUUGUAAAGCACUUUAAGCGAGGAGGAGGCUACUUGGAUUAAUACUCUAGGAUAGUGGACGUUACUCGCAGAAUAAGCACCGGCUAACUCUGUGCCAGCAGCCGCGGUAAUACAGAGGGUGCGAGCGUUAAUCGGAUUUACUGGGCGUAAAGCGUGCGUAGGCGGCUUCUUAAGUCGGAUGUGAAAUCCCUGAGCUUAACUUAGGAAUUGCAUUCGAUACUGGGAAGCUAGAGUAUGGGAGAGGAUGGUAGAAUUCCAGGUGGAGCGGUGAAAUGCGUAGAGAUCUGGAGGAAUACCGAUGGCGAAGGCAGCCAUCUGGCCUAAUACUGACGCUGAGGUACGAAAGCAUGGGGAGCAAACAGG
rnacentral:rRNA from 1 species